AUUGAACGCUGGCGGCAGGCCUAACACAUGCAAGUCGAGCGGAUGACGGGAGCUUGCUCCUUGAUUCAGCGGCGGACGGGUGAGUAAUGCCUAGGAAUCUGCCUGGUAGUGGGGGACAACGUUUCGAAAGGAACGCUAAUACCGCAUACGUCCUACGGGAGAAAGCAGGGGACCUUCGGGCCUUGCGCUAUCAGAUGAGCCUAGGUCGGAUUAGCUAGUUGGUGGGGUAAUGGCUCACCAAGGCGACGAUCCGUAACUGGUCUGAGAGGAUGAUCAGUCACACUGGAACUGAGACACGGUCCAGACUCCUACGGGAGGCAGCAGUGGGGAAUAUUGGACAAUGGGCGAAAGCCUGAUCCAGCCAUGCCGCGUGUGUGAAGAAGGUCUUCGGAUUGUAAAGCACUUUAAGUUGGGAGGGAGGGCAGUAAGCUAAUACCUUGCUGUUUUGACGUUACCGACAGAAUAAGCACCGGCUAACUCUGUGCCAGCAGCCGCAGUAAUAC
rnacentral:rRNA from 1 species